rnacentral:RNase_P_RNA from 1 species
GAAGACUCCCAGGUGAUCGCUGCCCGCCGCAUGUGCGGUGGGGGGAGGAAAGUCCGGGCUCCGCAGGGCGGGAUGGUUCCUAACGGGAACCGGGGGUGACCCCAGGGAAAGUGCCACAGAAAGCAGACCGCCCGGCUUCGUUGCCGCCUUGCGGUGACGUCGCCGUGGUGAGGGUGAAAGGGUGAGGUAAGAGCUCACCAGGUCCGGCGGUGACGUCGGAUGCUCGGUAAACCCCAUCCGGAGCAAGGCCGAAUAGGGGA